rnacentral:rRNA from 1 species
GACGAACGCUGGCGGCGUGCCUAAUACAUGCAAGUAGAACGCAGUUGCGAACGGGUGAGUAACGCGUAGGUAACUGCCUCAUAGCGGGGGAUAACUAUUGGAAACGAUAGCUAAUACCGCAUACUGUGGGAUGGACCUGCGUUGUAUUAGAUAGUUGGUGAGGUAAAGGUUCACCAAGGCGAGGUUACAUAGCCGUCCUGAGAGGGGGAACGGGCAACCUGGGAAUGAGGCACGGCCCAGAGUCCUACGGGAGGCAGCAGUGGGGAAUCUUCGGCAAUGGACGGAAGUCUGACCGAGCAACGCCGCGUGAGUGAAGAAGGUUUUCGGGUCGUAAAGCUCUGUUGUUAGAGAAGCGGUAGCUAACCAGAAAGGGACGGCUAACUACGUGCCAGCAGCCGCGGUAAUAC